rnacentral:rRNA from 1 species
UACGAAGGGGGCUAGCGUUGUUCGGAUUUACUGGGCGUAAAGCGCACGUAGGCGGCUUUGUAAGUUAGAGGUGAAAGCCCGGGGCUCAACUCCGGAAUUGCCUUUAAGACUGCAUCGCUCGAAUUGUGGAGAGGUAAGUGGAAUUCCGAGUGUAGAGGUGAAAUUCGUAGAUAUUCGGAAGAACACCAGUGGCGAAGGCGACCACCUGGACUGAUACUGACACUGAGGUGCGAAAGCGUGGGGAGCAAACAGG